AGUUAGUUGGUAAGGUAACGGCUUACCAAGACAAUGACGGGUAGCGGGUUUGAGAGGAUGAUCCGCCACACUGGUACUGAGACACGGACCAGACUCCUACGGGAGGCAGCAGUGAGGAAUAUUGCACAAUGGGGGAAACCCUGAUGCAGCAACGCCGCGUGGAGGAUGACGCAUUUCGGUGUGUAAACUCCUUUUAUGAGUCAAGAAAAUGACGGUAGCUCAUGAAUAAGCACCGGCUAACUCCGUGCCAGCAGCCGCGGUAAUACGGAGGGUGCAAGCGUUAUUCGGAAUCACUGGGCGUAAAGGACGCGUAGGCGGGCUUUCAAGUCAGGUGUGAAAUCCUACAGCUUAACUGUAGAACUGCACUUGAAACUGGGAGCCUAGAGCAUGGGAGGGGCAGAUGGAAUUAGUGGUGUAGGGGUAAAAUCCGUAGAUAUCACUAGGAAUACCGAAAGCGAAGGCGAUCUGCUGGAACAUAACUGACGCUAAGGCGUGAAAGCGUGGGGNAGCAAACAGGAUUAGAUACCCUGGUAGUCCACGCCCUAAACGAUGNACACUAGUCGUCGCUCUGCUAGUCAGGGCGGUGAUGCACUUAACAGAUUAAGUGUUCCGCCUGGGGAGUACGGUCGCAAGAUUAAAACUCAAAGGAAUAGACGGGGACCCGCACAAGUGGUGGAGCAUGUGGUUUAAUUCGAAGAUACGCGAAGAACCUUACCUAGCCUUGACAUUGAAGAAACACUUUAGAGAUAGAGUGGUGCCCUUCGGGGAAUCUGAAAACAGGUGCUGCACGGCUGUCGUCAGCUCGUGUCGUGAGAUGUUGGGUUAAGUCCCGCAACGAGCGCAACCCUCGUCCUUAGUUGCUAGCAGUUCGGCUGAGCACUCUAAGGAGACUGCCUUCGCAAGGAGGAGGAAGGUGAGGACGACGUCAAGUCAUCAUGGCCCUUAUGGCUAGGGCUACACACGUGCUACAAUGGGGCGUACAGAGUGUUGCGAUACCGCGAGGUGGAGCUAAUCACUUAAAGCGUCUCUCAGUUCGGAUUGGAGUCUGCAACUCGACUGCAUGAAGGUGGAAUCGCUAGUAAUCGCGUAUCAGAACGACGCGGUGAAUACGUUCCCGGGCCUUGUACACACCGCCCGUCA
rnacentral:rRNA from 1 species